CUUGACUAAAGAUGACCGCAUGGAAAUUAGAGUUUAUAAUGUCAGACAGACUGCCAGAUCCGGACAGUGACCCAAAGUCUCCAAAGAAGAUUACGAGGCACCUCAGUUCCUGCACCUGGACCAGUGAGCGAGAUGCUCAGAUGUGAAACCUGCCGCCUGCCAGAACCUGGCCGAGAAUGUGGACAAAGCUGCUGGACACUGGAAAAUUGAUUGUACCCCUUUGCCUAGACAAAACAAGGUCAGUCUUUUCCAUGUCCCUCUUCCACAGAGAGGAAAAAAACUCUCACAGUAUAGGCCUGGUGAAGAUUGCUGGUCUUUGAGACACCUGCCUCCAGCGGUAAUGGAGAAACUUGGGUAUGGACUGGCUUCUAACUGGCUUCUGUCACUUUUUAGUAGAUUCGGAUAAAGUAUACCCUUCUCAGAUCUCUGAAAUAUUACUGGUUGUCAGCUUGACAGCAUCAGGCAG
rnacentral:lncRNA from 1 species